AUGUGGAUUGAUGAGCAUGGAGGAUGCAAUACAACGGAGAAAUACGAUGGGGUUGUGUUGCUGAGGGGAAGUGUGCAUGUGCUCCAGCUGUCACAGAUCGACGGACGUGCUGACUUCUAUCGAACGGUAGUCAAGGCGGUUUACAAAUCUUGCCCAUCAUCCGACUUACGCGUAGCAGUGGCCAAAUUUCUGCGGGAAAUAGAAGCUCCCGUCACCUUAUAUGGGGGCGAGGCGAAAAGCAAUCCACAGAGGGAUUUUUUUCUCAAGUGUCUCAUUUUUUUUUUUGAGAAUAAUAACAAGUGGCUCAUCUAUAUCAUAGUACAAAUCAUGACACAUCGACCUGACACAACUGAAAAACAGCAAAAUGUUAACCUUUAUACAAAGGAACACAAGUCAAGAAAAAAACACCAGGACUGA
rnacentral:rRNA from 1 species